rnacentral:sRNA from 1 species
UUGGACAGUUUUUGCCCAAAUCCGCCUCGGGCAACUGCAAAGACCGUCCUAACAUGAAAAAAAAGUGCCGUACUUGCGUCCGGUCAGUUUACUUACUACAAGUAAUGGGUACUAUGUAGUCCGGCUAAUUUCCCAGUCCUGGGAGA